GGGGAAUAUUGCGCAAUGGGGGAAACCCUGACGCAGCAACGCCGCGUGGAGGAAGAAGGUCUUCGGAUUGUAAACUCCUGUCUUCUGGGACGAAAAAAAUGACGGUACCAGAGGAGGAAGCCACGGCUAACUACGUGCCAGCAGCCGCGGUAAUACGUAGGUGGCAAGCGUUGUCCGGAAUUAUUGGGCGUAAAGGGCGCGUAGGCGGCAGCCUAAGUCAGAUGUGAAACCCCGGGGCUUAACUCUGGACGUGCAUUUGAAACUGGGUAGCUAGAGUGCAGGAGAGGAAAGCGGAAUUCCUAGUGUAGCGGUGAAAUGCGUAAAUAUUAGGAGGAACACCAGUGGCGAAGGCGGCUUUCUGGACGGUAACUGACGCUGAGGCGCGAAAGCGUGGGGAGCAAAC
rnacentral:rRNA from 1 species